rnacentral:rRNA from 1 species
CCUACGGGAGGCAGCAGUGGGGAAUAUUGGGCAAUGGGCGCAAGCCUGACCCAGCAACGCCGCGUGAAGGAAGAAGGCUUUCGGGUUGUAAACUUCUUUUAAGGGGGAAGAGCAGAAGACGGUACCCCUUGAAUAAGCCACGGCUAACUACGUGCCAGCAGCCGCGGUAAUACGUAGGUGGCAAGCGUUGUCCGGAUUGACUGGGUGUAAAGGGCGUGCAGCCGGAGAGACAAGUCAGAUGUGAAAUCCACGGGCUCAACCCGUAAACUGCAUUUGAAACUGUUUCCCUUGAGUGUCGGAGAGGUAGUCGGAAUUCCUGGUGUAGCGGUGAAAUGCGUAGAUAUAAGGAAGAACACCAGUGGCGAAGGCGGAUUACUGAACGAUAACUGACGUUGAGGCGCGAAAGCGUGGGGAGCAAACAGGAUUAGAUACCCUAGUAGUC